rnacentral:ncRNA from 2 species
AAGGCGUUAUCGGGAGAGUCUGUCGGUUACAAGCUGGUCUUGUAUGCCGGCAGCGCCGAAGGAGCAACCGCCCCGGAAUCUCUCAGGCCCAAGGACCGAUAACCCAUU